UGGGGAAUAUUGCGCAAUGGGGGAAACCCUGACGCAGCGACGCCGCGUGCGGGAUGAAGGCCUUCGGGUUGUAAACCGCUUUUGAUUGGGAGCAAGCCUUUUGGGUGAGUGUACCUUUCGAAUAAGCGCCGGCUAACUACGUGCCAGCAGCCGCGGUAAUACGUAGGGCGCAAGCGUUAUCCGGAAUUAUUGGGCGUAAAGGGUUCGCAGGCGGAAUAACAAGUCAGAUGUGAAAGGCAUGGGCUCAACCCAUGUAAGCAUUUGAAACUGUAAUUCUUGAGAAGUGGAGAGGUAAGUGGAAUUCCUAGUGUAGCGGUGAAAUGCGUAGAUAUUAGGAGGAAUACCUGUGGCGAAGGCGACUUACUGGACACAAAUCUGACGCUGAGGAACGAAAGCGUGGGUAGCAAACAGG
rnacentral:rRNA from 1 species